rnacentral:rRNA from 1 species
CAGUCGCCACGGUAAAACGUAGGGUGCAAGCGUUAAUCGGAAUUACUGGGCGUAAAGCGUGCGCAGGCGGUUUGUUAAGACAGAUGUGAAAUCCCCGGGCUCAACCUGGGAACUGCAUUUGUGACUGGCAAGCUAGAGUGUGGCAGAGGGGGGUGGAAUUCCGCGUGUAGCAGUGAAAUGCGUAGAUAUGCGGAGGAACACCGAUGGCGAAGGCAGCCCCCUGGGCCAACACUGACGCUCAUGCACGAAAGCGUGGGGAGCAAACAGGAUUAGAUACCCCUGUAGUCCCUGUCUCUUAUAC